UGUAGCGACGAAAGGGAAGGAAAUGUAGCGAAAGAGAGAGACACGGAUCCCGCGCUCCGGAGACCGGGCCGGAGCGCGCACUCAGCCGCCCGGUCCGCCCCAGACCCACUGCACACUAGGCGCCCCUUUCCUUCCAUUCUCCCUUGAUAGCAAUUAAUUACCACAUAUGCAAUUUGUUUAAUAUAUUUUUUUAAAAAUAGUAAUAACACGUAAGAACUCGUUUUGGCCGCGGCAAACCGAAAGUUGCCCUUGAAGACGCUGGAGAGGGGGAAGAAAGAUGAUUUUUAUUUUGGAAAUUACAGGAAUUCAUGAUCUCGCAACAAAACCAUUCCUUCGGUUCGAGCAGGCCUUCAGAACUGCUUGGUGCUGUUAUAACAGAGGAAGGAAACAAUCAGGGCCAUGCCUUUUCAGAAGACAGCUUCUGUCAACUCCAGACUUGUAAAAGAAAGUCCUGUACGUAGCUACCAGUGCCCCCCGCACCCCCUGUGAUAGCUCAAGAACAACUAAAUUAAGGAUGGUGCAUAAAUCCAUCUUGUGAUCCAAAAGGCAAGAAAGAUAACUGCUGCGCUAUGGUUGACUCCCCCAUCUUCGAGAGGACAAUGUGCAAGAUCAUCAUCUGUAGGUAUGUCCUUUUGAAAAUUUUUUUAAAUACUUUAAACUUUUGCAAACUAGUUUAUUAACAGAGUCUAUCUACUGCUUAUGUUUAGAAAAGACAGUUGCACCCUGAAGUCACCAGCUAGCUUGGUGUCUUGUACAGCAGCAGUGCUCUAGCCAUACCCACUGAUGAGGUUGACAGUCAAAGCAUUGAGGAAACUUCUAAUAUUGGCAUUCUGUGCCAGCAUUGCUAACAGAGGUUAAAACAACAUUCUUAACUAUGUUGCACAUUUGCCAACUAAAUAGCCCCCAGCUUAUUAUGCAUCAAGAAACUCCUGUGGACAGAAUGGUUAGCUAGCAGUUAGUCGCAGAUGUUGAAAUCUAAGCUGGUAGCUUUGUGAACACAGCAGCCCUCAAUCACUGCCAGUCUGAAAAUCUGCUGGAGGAGCUUCAUGCUCUAUACACCAGCCUAUUUUAUUGCAGUAAUGUAUGUGAUUCAGUUGCAGCAUAAUACUAAAAUGUAGUAAGUGGAAAGCAUAUGUGUUUGGAAAGCAACGGGGUAGUUCCUUUGUAAACAAAAGCAACCAAGACCUUAAUGUACCUAGCUGACUUCUGACCUCCUAAGUUAUUUGAGUUAGACUGCAGUAGUUCAUCAAAGAGGUGCAGCACUUUCUUUUUAAAGGGGCAUUUACGGAUGAGUAAUAAAUCCUGUUUUUUUUCCAGCACCGGGAAAAUCGCAUAAAUAAUUAAAAGGUUUUCAAAACACGAGGCAGUCACGCUGUUGGGGAUGUGCGAUAUUUUCCAGAUAGUCUGAAGAAGAUAGAGAAAAGUUGUGGGCAAUUUUUUUGAGAAAUGAAAAACAAAGACAAUGUUAAUGUGUCGAUUACCCUAAUAUUAAACAGGAUAUAUUGUGGAAAAACAAAGGGAGUGCAAAAUUGCUAAAUUCCCUCUGGAAAAAUCUUUUACCUGGUAUAUAGCAGCCAAAGUGGGAGUGCAGGGAAGUAACUUCUAAACUUAGUUUUAGAGUACAAAGCUAGGCAAAUGUAUGAUAAGGCCAUUUGUUUAUAGUGAUCAAAAUUCAAUUUAUCACAGUUAUGGACAGGGGCAAAGAUUGGAGUUGGUUUUAAAUUGGGGUGAAGUCAAUUUUACUAGUCAAAGUGAUCUAGCAAAAGUGGAUUGGAAACAGCUACUUGAAGGAAAACCAGACAAUAAUGGGAGGCAUUGAAGAAGGAGCUUUGAGGGUUCAGAGUAAACAUAUUCCCACAAAGAAAAUAAAUGGGCUUGCCAAGAAUAGAGUCCCAAGAUAGCAAGGUGCCUAUUGGGUAAAAUGAGGCAAGAAAUUUAAUGUGAGAAAGUAUGUAGUAUGUAGGAGUGGAAUUAAAAUGGAAAUUAAGAAAGCUAAGGAAAGAUAUGAACAAAAUAGCUCAUAGUCAAAGAAAAUUCAAAGAUGUUUUAUCUGUACAUAAAGAGCGAGAGGAUAACUAAGGAUCUAUUAAGGACCAAAAAAGUAACCAUAGGAGAAUGCAGAUGAUAUUCCUAAUAAAUACUUUGCAACUGUGUUCUUUUAAGGGGGUGAUGCCGGUAUUGCAUUUCAGAGAGUGUAUGAAAUAUUGGAUGGGAUGAGCUUUGCAAUGGAGAAAGUAUGAAGGGGUUUAGCACUGCAAGUGAGGGAAUAGUUAGGCCUGGAUGAAAUGUAUUUAAGACUUCUUCAAAGAAGCAAGCAAGGGAGGAAGUUGCAGAGGCUUUAACUACAAUUGCUCAGUACUCCCUAGCUACAGAAUUGGUGCCAGAGGACUGAUAACAUUGUUUAAAAAGGGAGGACAAGAUAAUCUGAGUAUUUGCCAGCCUCUUUAACUUCAGUGGCUACACCUUUGGAAUCGAUCUCAAGGGGCAAUAUAAAGCUUCAUUUAGAAAGGCAAACAUUAAUCAGGAAUAGUCAACGUGGAUUUUUAAUGGAAGUCCUCUCUGACUAAACUGAAAUAAUUUUUGGGGGGGAGGUAACAAGGAGGGUUGAUGAGGGUGGUGUAUAUGAUAUAGACAAAAUAGAUUUUAGCAAGGCUUUUCACAGGAUCCCACAUGGCAAGCUUGUCAAAACGUAAAAGACCAUGGUAUCCAAGGGAGAGGAGCAAGUGGGAUGUGACAUGAGCUCAUUCACAAGAAGUAAAAGGUAAUGGUUGAUGUUUUUGUGACUGGAAGGCAGCUGCCAGUGGGGUUCCAUAAAGCUCAGUACUCAAUACCUUGCUUUUUGUAAUAUAUAUAACUGAUUUGGACCGAAAUCCAGAUGGGUGAUAAAGAAAUUUGUAGGUGAUAGAAAAACUGACGGUGUGGUUAACAGUGAGGAACAAACCCUUUGACUGAUAGAAGAAAAAGAUGGCAUGGUUAAUUGGGCAGAAAAAUGGUAAAUGGAAUUUAAUCUCAAAAAGUGUAAGGUAAUACAGUUGAAAUGCAAAAAGGCAAGGGAGUGCACAUUACAUGGGAGGAUAUUAAGUGUGUGAAAGAACAAAGGAUCCUUGGAAUACAUUUCCAUUGAUCCCUAUAAGUAACAGGACAGGUUAAUAAGAUGGGUAAAAAGGCAUAAAAUAUAAGACCAGGGAUGCUGGAAUUGUCUGCCACACUGGCUAGGCCACAGUUUGGGUACCAUGUACCAUUCUAGUCACCACAUUCAAGGAACAAUGUGAUGGAAUUGAGGAGGAUUCAGAGGAGAUUUCCAAGGAUAUUGCCGGGACUAAAAUAAUAGCUAUAAGAGAAUAUUGGGUAAGUUGGUGUUGUUUUGUUUUGAAAGAAGAGGAUGAGGGGUAGAAAGUGAGAGACCUGUAUUUGCAGUGAUUUGUUGGAUUAAUUACAUAUUAUUAAGGAAAAGCUUUCGGGCUUUCAGAUAUAACCAUUGCACCUUAAGAGUAUUUAUCUGUUGUGUAAACAUAGCCACACAAUCAAAAGGCAGAGAAUCAAAUGUUCUUUUGCCAUUAUUAUUGAUCAGUCCACCAGAAAUUCAUAUGGAAGAGAUAAAUGUUAUAAACUCAAGAGCAAGGCUGAUGUAAGCAUAACAGCAUUCUUGGUUGUGCCAUAUGCCAUAGUUGAGGUGUGUGGCUAAAGCCAGGCAUGGAGAUGUGGUUAAGUGUGCAGCCAGAGUCAGGGGUCAAGAACAUGGUUAGUUGUAUGGCCGGAGCUGGGGUCAAGACUGCGGUUAGUUGAGUGGCCAGAGCUGAGGUCCGGGAACGUGGUUAGUUGUGUGGCGGGAGCUGAUAAAAUUGGUACAUGCAACUUGCAUUCCACAUUAUGGAUGCUCAAGAUCUGGAGUGUCAGGAUUUCAUGGAUGAUCCAACAGCUGCAAACCUGACCACCGCCGCACAAUUGUAGCUAGGGAACUCGGACGCUUUGAUAUUGACGUCACCACACUGACUGAAACACAGUGGGCAAGAGAUGGCCAAUUUAAAGAACAAUGCACUGGGUACACAUUCUUCUGGUUGGGCAAACCAGAAGAGGAACACGCUUUGCCAGUGAGAAUGAGCUAGUCCGGCAUCUCUGCAACUCCCUGUGGAAUAAGUGAAUGCCUUAUCACUUCAGCUCAGUCCAUUUGGGAACCAAAAAGUUACAAUGAUCAGUGCAUGCAGCCCAAUCCUGGAGGGUUCAGGGGAAGGCACUGAGGAUUUCUAUUCUGACCUUGAAAUUAUCCUGAUUUGCAUCCCAAAUGAAGACAGACUGGUGGUCCUUUACAACUACAGUACCAGAGUGGGAAGGGGCAUGACCCUCGAGCAAGACAUGAUCAGCAAGGAAGAAGUAGGGAAGACCAACUCCAAUGGUAUCCUCUUGACAAAAUGCAUGGCCUUGUCAUAACGAACAAUCCUGUUCCAGGCACCGGCACCUGUUAGAUUGUAUCAUCAUCUGAGGAAGGGACCACAGGUGUCCACUUCACUCCCACUGUGACAGAUACUAAUGAGUGUAAGACUGACCACCACCUAAUAUGAUUUUACUUUCUCCAUCACCAUGCCCCCAAAACAUCUGAGAGAAGCAGCCAAUGCCUGCUGGAAGGAGCACUUCAUAGACAUCCUCAUCAGCAACUCUGUCCAUGACUUGAGUGCCAUUGACUCUGUCCCACAGCAACAUAUUCAAUGCAGCUUUGCCACCACUCCUGACUGACAUGCAGUUGAAGAGGUCAUAUCCAACUUCAAAAAAAAUGGGCCUCUAGAGCAGAGAAUAUUUCCACUGAAGUCCUAAAACACUGCAGUGAUGAGCUUCAGACACAAAUUUGCAAUCUCUUCAUUCCCAUUGGAGAAGAUGAGGAUAUUCCAUGUAACUACAGACACACUGCAAUUGUAACUAUAUUUGAGAAAAGAAACAAGUUUGACUGCAGUAAUUACUGUGGGGUCUCUCUUCUGUCUGCCACAGAGAAAGUAAUCACCGGGGUUCUACUUUCUCCCAGUGGUUGAAGAGCUGCUCCCUAAAUUGCAGUGUAGAUUCCAUCCAUUUAGAGGCACAAAUAGACGUGAUUUUCACCAAGCUAGUCACAGGGUCUUUUUCAACCCUUCCUCCAUCAAUUGGGAGGGAAUCCUUAAAUUCAGCUACCCACAGAAAUUCCAUCUUGUGUUUGCUUCACGAUGACAUACAAUCCAUGAUGCUGACCAAUGGGUCAAUACAAAACCAAUCUCGGUAAAGGCCAGUGUCAAACAAGAGUGUGUCAUUGCCCCAGCAUUUUCCCAAUCUUUCUCACUGCAAUGUAGAACCUCCCCUUCAACAAACUUCCCAUGCUAAUCUUCAGAACUAAUGGGAAACUGGUCAACCUAUAGUGACUACUCUCCAGAGCCAGGGUCAUCCCAUUCUAAGUGAUUAAGCUUGCAUUUGCGCACACUCACAGGACAAGCUUCAAGCCAUCGUCAACUCAUUCACUAAAGCUUACAAGAGGCUGAGCCUUGUACUCAACAUCUGCAUGAACCUCUUUUCCUAUCUCGGGAGAAAGUUCUUAGCAAAGGCAGUCAUCGAUGAUGAAAUUCAUCCUUGCCUUCAAUGCACUUGUACAGCCUUUGGUCCAUUGAGUAAAAGAGUACUGAAGAUCAAGACCUCAGACCUGAGCAAAAUUGCUGGUCUAUUGAGCAGUAAUCCCUGUGUUCCUAUAUGCUUUGAAACUAGACUUGAACUACCUACUGCAGACAUUCUGAGACAUCCCAAUGCUGUCUCCGCAAAAUUCUCCAAAUUUCCGGCGAUGGUUAAGCAAGUUACAGUGUCCUCUUCCAGAUCAGCUUCCAUAGCCCUGGUUGCACUCAGUCCACUAUGUUUGCAUCCCAACACCAGCCUCCUGAAGCUGAUAAUGUUUUUCAAACUCUGACAUGGGAAGAGUGAGAAGAGGAUGUGCUCAAGGCUUCCUUGAAGAAAUGUGACAUCCCCACUGAUUUCUGAGAUUCUUUGAUUCAUGGCUCUCAAAAUGGAGAAGCAACAUUUGGGAUGGUAUUAAAAAUCUCAAGUCUUUGCAUCAGGAAUACAUAGAAGCUCUGUGUAAGCAGUGGAAGGAGAUGCCACUGCACAAAUUAUCCAUCUUCAGUUCUAAAAGAUUAGAUAUCUCUGUGCUUUGCUGUGGCCUGCACUUUGCUUUGAAAAACACGUUUGCAAAUGCAGCCUUGCAAAGCUGCUGCUUUGUGGGAGAUGCUAACAAUCUCCAUAUCACUGGACUUCCUGCCUUGACAGAA